rnacentral:rRNA from 1 species
GUUUGAUCCUGGCUCAGAUUGAACGCUGGCGGCAUGCUUUACACAUGCAAGUCGAACGGCAGCGGGGGCUUCGGCCUGCCGGCGAGUGGCGAACGGGUGAGUAAUGCAUCGGAACGUGCCCAUGUCGUGGGGGAUAACGUAGCGAAAGCUACGCUAAUACCGCAUACGCCCUGAGGGGGAAAGCGGGGGGAUUCUUCGGAACCUCGCGCGAUUGGAGCGGCCGAUGUCGGAUUAGCUAGUAGGUGAGGUAAAGGCUCACCUAGGCGACGAUCCGUAGCGGGUCUGAGAGGAUGAUCCGCCACACUGGGACUGAGACACGGCCCAGACUCCUACGGGAGGCAGCAGUGGGGAAUUUUGGACAAUGGGCGCAAGCCUGAUCCAGCCAUGCCGCGUGAGUGAAGAAGGCCUCGGUGUAAGACGUCUUCGUCCGGGUACGGAAAGUACGUAGGUCGUCU